rnacentral:tRNA from 1 species
GGUGGUUUGGCUCAGUGGUUAUAGCGUAGGUCUAUCGUAACCGAAAGGUCGCGGGAUCGAAUCCCGCUAGAGGCUG